rnacentral:rRNA from 1 species
UGGGGAAUAUUGCACAAUGGGCGCAAGCCUGAUGCAGCCAUGCCGCGUGUAUGAAGAAGGCCUUCGGGUUGUAAAGUACUUUCAGUCGGGAGGAAGGUGGUAAGGUUAAUAACCUUAUCAAUUGACGUUACCGACAGAAGAAGCACCGGCUAACUCCGUGCCAGCAGCCGCGGUAAUACGGAGGGUGCAAGCGUUAAUCGGAAUUACUGGGCGUAAAGCGCACGCAGGCGGUCUGUCAAGUCGGAUGUGAAAUCCCCGGGCUCAACCUGGGAACUGCAUUCUAAACUGGCAGGCUAGAGUCUUGUAGAGGGGGGUAGAAUUCCAGGUGUAGCGGUGAAAUGCGUAGAGAUCUGGAGGAAUACCGGUGGCGAAGGCGGCCCCCUGGACAAAGACUGACGCUCAGGUGCGAAAGCGUGGGGAGCAAACAGG